rnacentral:lncRNA from 1 species
GUCUGAACAGGCCCUUAGUGACCUCCACAUGUCCUUCUGUUCAGUGACAUUGGCAGGCAGAAUUACAUCAAACAAGGACUCCAUCAGUGGAGGCUGCUGAGGGGAGGACAGCUCAUAAAUAUGGCUGGAAUGGAGUCAACGGAACGGUAACAAACACAUAGAAACCAUGUCUUUGAUGUGGUUGGUGCCAUUCCAUUGAUUCCAUUCCAGACAUUACUAUGAGCCGUCCUCCCCUCAGCAGCCUCCACUGGACUCCAUGGGUGAUGUUGGAAAUCCUUGUGUUUCACGGUGAUGCUGUCAGUAGUAUUGGUACAGGAGUGUAAUCCUGUCCUGUAAUCCUCCACAAAGACAGGCUGGGAGGUUGUAAUAAACCACACACACUUACUGCAUGAAGGCUUCAAAGGAAGACAAAAUAUUUAAAGUAUUUCAUGAGAAAAACACUCCAUCAAACUAAGGAUUUUUAUUUAGUGUUCACAACUAUUUCACCCAUCAUAGCAAGAGCUCUGUGAUGCACACACACACCAAACCUCUUCGUAAGCUCACACACUCGCGUCACAUCACACGAACUCCACUCCCCUUAAACUGUGAUGAUGUUGUGUGACCACUAGGUGUCACCAAAGCACAGUAAGACAGUGAUAGGGAGGCUAAGGCGUUAUACUCCAUCAAACCUCUCAAAUCUAAAAAGAAAACAUUUACUCUCCUAACUUUAUUACAUCACUGAAAAAGGGAUGAAUCUGUCCGGAACUCUACAGCCUUGGCCCGAUUAUCAAUACAGAAAUAUUGCUCUGGUUUUCAAAAUAAGGUUACCUGACUGAGUCUGCUGCCGUAUCAAACCUGUACACUGCCUAUAUACAGACUGACAGAUCAUCUAUGUACAUGCUACAUACUCUCACACUCUGAGUAGAAGUUGCCCUUAGGUACAGAUCUAGGAUCAGCUUAUGCUCUCCAAAUCCUGACUUUAACCAUUAGGGGGGAAAGACAUAACAUAGUACUGACCCUAGAUCAGAGUAUAGGGACAACUUCAUCCUGCUCACACUCUCCCACUCACAGACUCACUGACCUGUACACAACCUGACCACUUGUAUACGAAACAGUCGUGUUUGGACCCUCUGUGCGGAAUUCAAUCUAAGUUAAAUUCCAGCCUCAGUGUGUUUUGGUCCAGUGGUCUUAGUUCAUCUGGUGCCUUCACAACACAGCAGACAACAGAGAGUAAAUGCUCUAAAACUGGGGUUAAAACUAACUAAAAAGUAGCCGAUAGGUUGCAAGAGGGUAGUCAAUGAGGUCACUUCCAAUGUUCUCCCAAUCACUGAUCAGUAAACACUAUGUGACUCCGCCCUUUCCUGUCGGCUCAAAUUGCAGCCAUUUCACAAACGUGACACGUCCAUAUAUCCCAUGAUAUAUCCAUACAAACAUGAGACGUCCAUAUAUCCCAUGAUAUAUCCAUACAAACAUGCUUUAGCUUCUAAAGGGGGGAGUGAAGUAAAGGGAAUGGUUAGGUAUUAUUAUUCGGAGGUUUCUCUUUAAACAGCACUUUAACCCACCCCCAGACUAACUAGAGGAGGGAGACAGAUACAUGAUUGAUCUGUUGACUGAUUGAUCAUGUAGAUGAUAAAGUCAUCCAUACAUCUUGUCUGAGCACAGAGCAUGUAGUGGGCCAUUUUCCAAGAGGCCCUCCUAGACAGGCUUGCCCUAUGUUAAACUCUACAAGGGGAACAUUUAGGCUACACUUCCUUUACCUUAUAACCUAGCUAACCUCAUGUUCCUGGCUUCUGGGGAACAAGACUACCUUACACCAAGAUCCACAAAACUACACUACCCAUAAGUCCUGAGCUUAAGGAAUGUGCAACACGUUCUCAGUCAAUCACCAGCAUUUCCCACGGGAACAUGGCCCGGUGACACAGAGAAUUGCAUUCUGGAAAUCAUUGCUUGUACCUUAUUACUAAAGAGUGAAAAGUAGGGUCAUAUAUACAGAUUAGAAACAAAACAAAACUAUAUUGUGUGUGUGUGUGUGUGUGUGUGUGUGUGUGUGUGUAAGGCUGUGUGUGUGUGUGUAUAAAGAGUGUGUGUGUGUGUGUGCGUGUGUGUGUGUGUAUAAGGGUGUGUGUGUGUGUGUGUGUAUAUAAGGGUGUGUGUGUGGGAGGAGCGUUGUUGUGUUUUAGAUUCAGUAUCUAAGAGGUCAGAUCAGGUGCAACAAGAACAGCUCAAUGUUAAUGAACUAUAAAUGGAACAUAUCAACCAGGUUGUCAGGGGUUCAGGGGUUUCUUUACACUGUUUUAACCCCCCUCUGUCCUGUGAGGUGAUCUUCUGGCGUGAAGUGUACCUGGGCAUCAACAACCCUCCUGUAUAUUGCUCUGUUGUGUACAUCUCUAUAGCGUGUCAUAACAGUAUCACAUCACAUCAUAUUGAUAAUAAUCUAUUCAUAAUGCAUUGUCCUAUUCUUGUGUAUUAUGUAACUUAGUGUUUCCUAGUGUGCACUUCAGCAUAGUGGCCUAGUGAAGUGCCCAUUCCUGCCCUGAAGUGUUGACUUCUGUAGAUACUGUACACUUUGAGGAAGAUAACUUUAGUGUCGUUAGUGUAUGCUUGGUACCGUAUUGGUACCGUAACCUGCCUGAGUGACUGAUUGAUGAGGUAAUUGAAUUGGGGAUCAGGUGCCAGGUCUGGGCACUGUAAUGAACAAAUGUGUGUGUAUGUGUGUGUUGGGAGGGGGAGGGGGGGGCAUGCAAUGGAUUAAAUAGUCUGAUUCUCCAGGCUCAGUAUGUAAUCCAUUCCAUUCCAAAUAUGAUUUGGAAACAAUGGAUUAGCAUCCUAUAGACACUAUUCUAUGGCUCGUGUGUUUAUCUGCGCGUGCAUACGUGUGUGUGGGGUAGAGAAAUGGACACGUACAGCGGUAGGGUCGUUAGCUAGGGGUCAAUGUUUCAGCUAUUGGCUGGGGAUAGGGCUUGAGGUGUUGGUUAGGGUUAGGGUUAGGGCUUGAGGUGUUGGUUAAGGUUAGGGGUUGAGCUGUUGGUUAAGGUUAGGGCUUGAGGUGUUGGUUGGGGUUAGGGGUUAGGGCUUGAGGUGUUGGUUAGGGUUAGGGCUUGAGGUGUUGGUUAGGGUUAGGGGUUGAGCUGUUGGUUAAGGUUAGAGGUUGAGCUGUUGGUUAAGGUUAGGGCUUGAGGUGUUGGUUGGGGUUAGGGGUUAGGGCUUGAGGUGUUGGUUAGGGGUUAGGGCUUGAGGUGUUGGUUAGGGGUUAGGGCUUGAGGUGUUGGUUAGGGUUAGGGCUUGAGGUGUUGGUUAAGGUUAGGGGUUGAGGUGUUGGUUAAGGUUAGGGUUUGAGGUGUUGGUUAGGGUUAGGACUUGAGGUGUUGGUUAAGAUUAAGGGUUGAGGUGUUGGUUAAGGUUAGGGCUUGAGGUGUUGGUUAAGGUUAAGGGUUGAGGUGUUGGUUAAGGUUAGGGCUUGAGGUGUUGGUUAAGGUUAAGGGUUGAGGUGUUGGUUAAGGUUAAGGUUAAAGGUUGAAGUGUUGGUUAAGGUUAGGGCUUGAGGUGUUGGUUGGGGUUAGGGGUUGAGGUGUUGGUUAAGGUUAGGGGUUGAGGUGUUGGUUAAGGUUAGGGGUUGAGGUGUUGGUUAAGGUUAGGGGUUGAGGUGUUGGUUGGGGUUAGGGCUUGAGGUGUUGGUUAAGAUUAAGGGUUGAGGUGUUGGUUAAGGUUAGGGCUUGAGGUGUUGGUUAAGGUUAAGGCUUGAGGUGUUGGUUGGGGUUAGGGGUUGAGGUGUUGGUUAAGGUUAGGGGUUGAGGUGUUGGUUAAGGUUAGGGGUUGAGGUGUUGGUUAAGGUUAGGGGUUGAGGUGUUGGUUGGGGUUAGGGCUUGAGGUGUUGGUUAAGAUUAAGGGUUGAGGUGUUGGUUGGGGUUAGGGGUUGAGGUGUUGGUUGGGGUUAGGGAUUGAGGUGUUGGUUGGGGUUAGGGGUUGAGGUGUUGGUUAAGAUUAGAGGUUGAGUUGUUGGUUGGGAGUCAAGGUUAGGGCUUAUGGUUAGGGUGCAAUAUGAAAAAUGCAGAGUUCUACAGCUCAGUCUAGGGUUAGGGUCUAUCCUGGGGUGCAGAGGCUCGCGUUCCCCACCCCCCUCAUCCCUCCCUCCCUCACUUUCAACAUGCCAGUUCUCUAUCCUGGUGGUGCAGAGGCUCUCAUUCCCCACCCCCCUCAUCCCUCCCUCCCUCACUUUAAACAUGCCAGUUCUCUAGCCUGGGGAUGCAGAGGCUCUCAUUCCCCACCCCCUCAUCCCUCCCUCCCUCACUUUAAACAUGACCGUUCUCUAGCCUGGGGAUGCAGAGGCUCUCAUUCCCCACCCCCUCAUCCCUCCCUCCGUCACUUUAAACAUGACCGUUCUCUAGCCUGGGGAUGCAGAGGCUCUCAUUCCCCACCCCCUCAUACCCCCUCAUACCCCCCCACUCCCGUUAGAGCUCACUGAUACAGCAAAUCCUGUUCAAACCAUAUCCACUCAGCUGAGACCAAAGCGACCCUAAUCACUGCUGUACUCUGAGCAGUAGAAGAAGCAGCACGGAGGAUCGUUCCUCUCAUCCUCCUCUUCUUACAUAUUCACCUUCAUGUUCAAUUCCUCAAGUCUUCUCAUCCUCUGGCUUCAUUACGUUAAGUCCUUUGUUUUUCUCCAUUUCGUGUUCCUCGGUCUUGUGUUGUUGACUUGUUGUUUUUGUUUUGGGAAGUACUGUGUGUUUUCUCUGCUUUGGUGUGUGUGUGUGGCAGGGUGUGUGUUGGAUUCUUCGGGGUGAGUGUGUGUGGCAGGGUGUGUGUUGGAUUCUUCGGGGUGAGUGUGUGUGGCAGAGUGUGUGUUGGACUCCUUCGGGGUGUGUGGCGGGGUCAGUGUGUGUGUGUGUGACAGUUCUGUACGCCCCCCCCCAACCCCACCGACACUAAAACAACACACUUUGCCUCCUACUCUUC